GGGAAACCCGUUGAACCCCGUCGGUGCUAGGGAUAGGGAAUUGCAAUUAUUUCCCUUGAACGAGGAAUUCCCAGUAAGCGCGAGUCAUUAGCUCGCGUUGAUUACGUCCCUGCCCUUUGUACACACCGCCCGUCGCUACUUCCGAUUGAAUGGUUUAGUGAGGUCCUCCGAUUGGACCCGGUCCGGGCGGCGACGUCCGAGCCGGCGUCCGAGAAGACGAUCUAUCUUGAUCAUUUAGAGGAAGUAAAAGUCGUAACAAGGUUUCCGUAGGUGAACCUGCGGAAGGAUCAUUA
rnacentral:ncRNA from 1 species